rfam:Schistosoma haematobium scaffold1499_1, whole genome shotgun sequence.
AUCCGGCUGACGAGUCCCAAAUAGAAUGAGACGUGAGUACUGGAU